AUCUGGGCCAGGAUCUGGGCGAAGAACAAGGAUCUGUGUGGGGAUUUGGGUCAGGAACCAACAUCUGGUUGAAGAUCUGGGUGAAGAACCAGAAUCUGGGUGAGGAACUGGGAUAUGAGUGCAGGAUGGGGUCAGGAGCUGGGAUCUGGGUGAAGAUCCAGGUGAGGAACUGGGAUCUGGGUGCAGGAUGGGGUCAGGAGCUGGGAUCUGGGUGAAGAUCCAGGUGAGGAACUGGGAUCUGAGUGCAGGAUGGGGUCAGGAGCUGGGAUCUGGGUGAAGAUCCAGGUGAGGAACUGGGAUAUGAGUGCAGGAUGGGGUCAGGAACCAAUGACUGGGUGAGGAUUUG